rnacentral:rRNA from 2 species
GCGAGUGAAGCGGGAUGAGCUCAAAUUUAAAAUCUGGCAGCAUCAGUUGUCCGAGUUGUAGUCUAGAGAAGUGUUUUCCGCGUUGGCCUGUGUACAAGUCCCUUGGAAUAGGGCGUCAUAGAGGGUGAGAAUCCCGUCCUUGACACAGAUCCCAAUGCUUUGUGAUACGCUCUCAAAGAGUCGAGUUGUUUGGGAAUGCAGCUCAAAAUGGGUGGUAAAUUCCAUCUAAAGCUAAAUAUUGGCGAGAGACCGAUAGCGAACAAGUACCGUGAGGGAAAGAUGAAAAGCACUUUGGAAAGAGAGUUAAACAGUACGUGAAAUUGUUGAAAGGGAAACGAUUGAAGUCAGUCAUGCUUCUCUGGAUUCAGCUUGUUCUACAAGUGUAUUUCCAGUUUUGCAGGCCAGCAUCAGUUUUGUUUGGUGGAAAAAGCUUGAGGAACGUGGCAACUUCGGUUGUGUUAUAGCC